UGGGGAAUAUUGGACAAUGGGGGAAACCCUGAUCCAGCCAUGCCGCGUGCGUGAAGAAGGCCUUAGGGUUGUAAAUCCCUUUCGGCGGGGAAGAUGAUGACGGUACCCGCAGAAGAAGCUCCGGCUAACUCCGUGCCAGCAGCCGCGGUAAUACGGAGGGAGCUAGCGUUGUUCGGAAUUACUGGGCGUAAAGGGCGCGUAGGCGGCCGAUCCAGUCAGACGUGAAAGCCCCGGGCUCAACCUGGGAAUUGCGCUUGAUACUGGUUGGCUGGAGUCCGGGAGAGGGUAGUGGAAUUCCCAGUGUAGAGGUGAAAUUCGUAGAUAUUGGGAAGAACACCGGUGGCGAAGGCGGCUACCUGGCCCGGUACUGACGCUGAGGCGCGAAAGCGUGGGGAGCAAACAGGAUUAGAUACCCUGGUAGUCCACGCCGUAAACGAUGUGUGCUAGACGUUGGGGGGCUUAGCCCUUCAGUGUCGCCGCUAACGCAUUAAGCACACCGCCUGGGGAGUACGGCCGCAAGGUUA
rnacentral:rRNA from 1 species